GACGUAGGGCGCGAGCGUUGUCCGGAUUUAUUGGGCGUAAAGAGCUCGUAGGCGGCUUGUCGCGUCGUCCGUGAAAACUCACAGCUCAACUGUGAGCUUGCGGUCGAUACGGGCAGGCUAGAGUUCGGUAGGGGAGACUGGAAUUCCUGGUGUAGCGGUGAAAUGCGCAGAUAUCAGGAGGAACACCGGUGGCGAAGGCGGUCUGCUGGGGUCGAACUGACGCUGAGGCGCGACAGCGUGGGGAGCAAACAGG
rnacentral:rRNA from 1 species